rnacentral:rRNA from 1 species
UAAGCAAGGCGUGAAAGCGUACGGCUCAACCGUAUAGACAUGUUUUGAACUGCUUAGCUAGAGGACGAGAGAGGUAGCUGGAAUUCCCUGUGUAGGAGUGAAAUCCGUAGAUAUAGGGAGGAACACCGAUGGCGUAGGCAGGCUACUGGCUCGUUCCUGACACUCAGGCACGAAAGCGUGGGAGCGACCGGGAUUAGAUACCCCGUUAGUCCACGCCGUAAACGAUGGAUGCUA